UAUCGGGGGUGCAGGUUAUGUGGGCUCUUCAUUGGUGAAGAAGCUUAUAGACGAAGGCUACACCGUUCAUGCAACGCUUAGGAGCUUGAGUGAUGAGUCGAAGGUGGGAUUGCUGAAGAGCUUCGGCGGCGCCGAUGAGCGACUAAAGUUGUUCGAAGCUGAUCUUUGCAACAAAUCCGAAGAGAUCGAGCAGGCCAUCCAUGGCUGUGAAUUUGUGUUCCUUGUGGCACGCCCACACCGCAAGCCCGAAGGUUGAACGUGGAUGCAAUAGUGGAGGGAGUAAAGAACGUGGCAUAUGCUUGCAGUAGAUGUGAAAGCGUUCGGCGGCUGAUCUAUACCGCCUCCACCGGCGCCGCUUCGCCGUUAAAGGCGUCAUGGACGAAACACGCUGGACUCCUCUCCCUCUCCCUUUCCACCAUUCCAAUUAUAGCCUGAGGGAUUAUAUAGAAAGCAAAACAUUGGCGGAGAAAGAAAUAUUGAAAAUUGGAAAUGAUGAAGGAUUGGAAGUGGUGAGCUUAGGAC